GUCUGGAGCUGGCAUGUCAGUUAACUGCUAGUAGUCUGUUGUUAUUUAUGUAUUAUUGUCAUUUUAUUUAUUUUCUUUUGUUACAUCUUUUGACAUCAGACUCGGACUUCUCUUGAACUGAAUUUUAAUGUGCGUAUUGUUAUUCUUUUACUUUUCUACACUGGCUAGAGGUAUAGGGGGAGGGUUGAGAUCUCAUAAACAUGUUUAACCCCGCCGCAAUUUUGCGCCUGUCCCAAGUCAGGAGCCUCUGGCCUUUGUUAGUCUUGUAUGAUUUUAAAUUUUAGUUUCUUGUGUAUAAUUCGGAGUUUAGUAUGACGUCAAUUAUCACUGUACUAUUAUGCAUAUUUUAGGGG
rnacentral:lncRNA from 1 species